UUACUGGUAGGUUAUUUAAACUGGCAAAUUGUGGUUUUGUUGAUUACAGGUUUUAUUUUUUGUGUAUC
rnacentral:tRNA from 1 species